UUUUGGCCCUAUCGAAGCUUAAUCUUGUUUAUUUAAUAACAAAUUUGAGUCAAAAUGAGGCCCAUAUCAAAAUUUUAACUCUUAAGGUCACUGGUUAGUUAGUUAAUAUAACUUUCACAGUAUUACCCUGAGUUCGAACAUAAAA